AGUUUACAUCUUGUCACCGAUCCCGUAAACCCGGAAGCCACGGCCGGCCGUCGCCGCGGCGCCGGCGGAGCUCUCCACCGGAGACGACGACGUCCCUCCUACGGCUGCCCCCGAGCCACCGCCAGCCGCAGCGCACGGCGGCGCGCCCAGCUCGCCUGCGCGCCGCCGUACCUUCCCCGGCCGACGCACAGCUCGUCGUUGCCCCGCACGUCGAGGCGCCUGCCCAGCCGCGCCACGAACUCCGCCGGCAGCGCGAUCUCCCCGGCCAGCCGGUUCUGGCUCAGGUUGAGCCGCCCCAGCCGCGGCAGCGCGGCGAGGCUCGCCGGGAUCGGCCCGUCGAGCCUGUUCCGGUCGAGCGACAGCGCCGCCAGGCUGGCCAGCGCGGCGAACGCGCCGCGCGGGAUCGGCCCCGUCAGGCCGCACCCGGACAUGCCCACCACCUGCAGCCGCCGGAGCGACCCGACCACCGCCGCCGGCACCGCCGUGCCGAUGGGGUUCUCCUGCAGGAGCAGGUACUGCAGCUUCCCCAGCCCGGCCAUCGACGCCGGCAGCGGCCCGGCGAGCUCGUUGUGGCUCAGGUCGGCCUUCUCCAGCAUCCUCAGGCUCCCCAGCGCCGCCGGCAAGCCGCCGGCGAGGCUGUUCCAGCUCAGGUCCAGGAUGGACAGGCUCUCCAUGCCUCCGAUCUCCUCCGGAAUCUGCGCGCGCCGCACGUACACGUGUCACCACCACGACAUGUACACGUCGUACGAGCUCAGUGACAUGACACCUACCUCGCCGGUUGUUGUAGCUGAGGUCGAGCUGCUGCAGCGCGGCGAGGCGGCCGAGCUCCGGCGGGAUCUCGCCGCGGAAGCCGUUCUGGGACAGGCUAAGCACGCGCAGGCUCCUCAGGUCGCUCAGCGUCGCCGGGAUCCGGCCGGUGAGGCCGGGGUUGGACUUGAGCACGAGCUGCUCGAGGGAGGAGGCGUUGGUGAAGAGCGCCGGCGGGAGCUCGACGGCGGCGGCGGCGGCGGCGGCCUGAUCGUCUCGGCGACGACGAAGCAGCCGAAGAGGGAGAGCGUCUUGAGGUGGGGGAGUCCCAGGAGCACGGGCGCGGCGAGCCUGGCGCCGGGCCUGCACGGCGGGGUGGCGACGUCGGGGCCGAAGUGGAGCCUGGUGGCGCGCAGGUGGCGGGCGUCGUCGGGGGGCGAGCUCGCACUGGAGUCCCGGCCAUGGCGUGGACGCCGGUGGAGCUGCGGCCACGUCGGGUCGCCGAGGAGGUCAGCCAUCACCCUACAGAUGGCAGCCAGUUCUGACCUUGGCAGCUACGCCGGCGGCGCCUCCCCGGCGAGCUGCGCGGCGGUGGACAUGGCCACGGCGCCAUGGAGGAAGAAGAGGAAGAAGGAGAUGGUCAGCGAGGCGAGCCAAGCAGCCAUUGGAUUUGGUCGAUGGUCUACCCUAGGCUUGCAAACCUGA
rnacentral:lncRNA from 1 species